rnacentral:tRNA from 1 species
UCCCCAGUAGCUCAGAUGGUAAAGCAUCUGCCUACAACACAGGAGACCUGGGUUUGAUCCCUGGGUUGGGAA